rnacentral:rRNA from 1 species
UGGCGGACGGGUGAGUAACGCGUGGGCAACCUGCCCCAUACCGGGGGAUAACAGCCGGAAACGGCUGCUAAUACCGCAUAAGCGCACAGCGCCGCAUGGCGCGGUGUGAAAAACUCCGGUGGUAUGGGAUGGGCCCGCGUCUGAUUAGCCAGUUGGCGGGGCAGCGGCCCACCAAAGCGACGAUCAGUAGCCGACCUGAGAGGGUGACCGGCCACAUUGGGACUGAGACACGGCCCAAACUCCUACGGGAGGCAGCAG